rnacentral:rRNA from 1 species
UGCGAGUCUUUGUAGUAAUACAAGGCAUACGGCUCAGCAACGCGUAGUCAACCUACCCUAUGGACAAGAAUAAUCUCGGGAAACUGAGCAUAAUUCUUGAUAGAUCAUGAUGCCUGGAAUGGUUUAUGGUUAAAAUGAUUCGUCGCCAUAGGAUGGGACUGCGGCCUAUCAGCUUGUUGGUGAGGUAAUGGCCCACCAAGGCGAUUACAGGUACGGGCUCUGAGAGGAGAAGCCCGGAGAUGGGUACUGAGACAAGGACCCAGGCCCUAUGGGGCGCAGCAGGCGAGAAAACUUUGCAAUGUGCGAAAGCACGACAAGGUUAGUCCGAGUGAUUUCUGCUAAAGAGAUCUUUUGCUAGUUAUAAAACCACUAGUGAAUAAGGGGUGGGUAAGUUCUGGUGUCAGCCGCCGCGGUAAAACCAGCACCUCAAGUGGUCAGGAUGAUUAUUGGGCCUAAAGCAUCCGUAGCCGGCUCUGUAAGUUUUCGGUUAAAUCCAUACGCUCAACGUAUGGGCUGCCGAAAAUACUGCAGAGAUAGGGAGUGGGAGAGGUAGACGGUACUCGGUAGGAAGGGGUAAAAUCCUUUGAUCUAUCGAUGACCACCUGUGGCGAAGGCGGUCUACCAGAACACGUUCGACGGUGAGGGAUGAAAGCUGGGGGAGCAAACCGGAUUA